GAACAGUGGUACACUAAGAUGUGUGCUGUGUUUGCAAAAGAAAAGGUCCUUUUUUUUUUUGGGUUCCUGGUUUUAGCUCUCUGCUUUAUGCUGCUGCUUUUCAACGUCCUCAUCAUUCUUCACUUGUGCCUUGCUCUCUCUCUCUCUCUCUCUCUUAGUUGGCGUGUUUUCUCUUCUUAUUGAUUUACAGAAUCUCUGAGAAUGUAAGAAUUUGUCUGCCAAACCACAUUUUUUCUGUAAGAAAUUAAUCAGUCCGCUGCAACUUCAAGAAUAUCAUGAGAAUCGACAACGUAGAAUGAAGGGUCAUUUUGGUUAGUGUAGAGAGGUCAAAGUCUGAAGGAAAUCCAAUGACGUAUGUAUCCCAAAUCCUUAAUUCUCUACGUCCUUUCCUGUAUUAUAAACAAAUACUAAUAAGUUUGAAUAAAUAUCUUAGAUGAGUAGUAAGUAAUUAUAUAAAGUAAGAAAUUGUUGGUGUUAGUGCAGCGAAAAAGAGAAAAAAUUGUCAUCAUGUAAUCCAUGCAUGUUCAUGUGCCCACGCUUUUAUGUUUUUUAUAUCCUCCACCCCCCACCAAAACAAUCAUAUAAUUCAUUUCUACACCACAUGACUUUCUCACUUUUACCAUUUAUAAGCUAUUUAUUCCCCUUAAUUCAAACUCAUAAUAUAUAUAAUAUUUACAAGUAAAUUACUGCACUGGAGAAAUCAUGAUGAGAAAAAGGAUAUAUAUUAUGAGGGAUGGAGGGAGGGAGGUAAUAAGCUGCAUCUUGCUUUGGUCCCUGAGCUGAGAAUAAAUUUGGAGCCAAAGGCUGCUCAGCUUAUGAUUAAUUACACUCCACAAACACAACUACCCCAACUCCUUCUAUGCUCUCAUUACUCAUUAUUCCUACCACCCAUCUUGGGAUCAAGAGGACCCACCCCCUUGCUCUUCAAAAUUUGAGCAGAAAAGAUGUGUGUGUAUAUAUAUAUAUGUAUCUUAAUUAUUCAAGAUUGAAUUAUUAGUUAGCUGCAUAAAUUGCGGGAAAACAUGAGUAAUCCUUCCUUCCUGAUUAUGGUCACAGAGGUGGGGUAUGACUAUGCACGAACCUUUUAUCCUUGCAUUAAUUAAUGUAGGAACUAAUUGUAAGAAAGGAGACAGUUUGCCGCACAAAAGUAUUACAUCAACAACAAUCACACACAUGAAAGAAAAGGCACAUGCCUGUGCCUAUAGCUGUAUGUAUCCAUUUCCACGCCUGCUGCAUUCACAAAUAUUAUUAAAACAAAAAAUAGAUUGGUUACCCAAUAAGUAGGAUUGAAUCCAUAAGUUUUCAUUUAUCAUUUCCAAAUAGGGAGAUAUAUUCAGAUUUGUUUUAGAUAAAAGCAAAGGUGAAUUUGAGGGAGAGCUCUAGUCCAGUUUGAUGUGGGCUUCAGCGGAUCAAACCCCACCCAACUCACUUCAUUCCUUCACCUUAAGAAAAAACCUUCUCCUUCUACCUUAUUUUUAUUUUUGGGUGGUAUAUCGACAGCAAUACCAUACUGUACAUACACAUUUUUUGUAAUAUUUCUGAAAAAUAAAAUGAACUAUGCUAAUCCAAAUAGAAUUUAUUAUUUUGUGAAAAAAUAAUUAUUAUUGAAAAAAUAAAUAAAAUAAUAAGCAAAAUAUAGUAUUUUUUCAACAUAUAGAAACAAAAUGAUCGUUAUUCAAUUAAGUUUCUUUUAAAAGUGAUUUUUUUUCAAAUAUUAUCCAAUUUAGUUUUUAUCAACUUUUGACUCUUUUUUUACAAAUACAACCUACUUUUAAUUUUCUACAACUUCCACUUUUUUUUUUAUAUAAAAAUAAUUUUUUUUGCAAACACUCCCUAAGAAUCUCAAUGUAGCUAUAAUUGAGUUACAUCUUAUCACAGCUCCAACCCCCCUUUUUCGCUCCUCAGUCACCAAACUUCUAUUUACACAAAACUCAACGUGCCACCAACUAUCACAGCCAACCUCAAUAAAUGGCAAAUAUUUCCACAUUAUCAAAUGCUAUCAAAAGUUGAGCUCUAAUCACAUCAUCAUAAAAGUAUUAAUUCUGAUAGAGAAAGAGACAUUAACAAACAAGUUGGAAGCCAUUCAUGUAACGUAUGGGCCCUAAAACUCAACGUGCCAGAAAAUCAAACACCAGCCAAGAAAUUCUGGCAGAGUACUAAAUAAUUCAACAGAUGUGCUCUGCUCCCAAUUGGACAUGGGAUGCGCUCGAUUUUUCUUCCUUCUCAAAUAAAGUAAUGUAGACUCCAUUGGUAAGGCAUGUGAGCCAGAUGCAAAUUUCCAUUAAACAAAGAGACGUAACCCCAGUUCUCAAGAUUCCUUGAUUCUCCAUGCCAGCUGAAUGCAUACAAAUAUAAUUUACAAAACUUAUGUAGUCGGUUCAUAGUAUAAGAGAGAGACCACCUAAGUAUGGCAACCACGAUAUGUACAGGGCACCAAGGCAUAAAGAAUUCAAGUGCAUCGACAGCCCAUUAUUGCUGUAGCCUAACGAAACAACAAAUCUCUCAGAUAUACGACUUGGAUGCACAAAAUUUAAAUUUAGUGAGACUUAUACUACUUAAUCAGCGUCACAUAAGGUGUAACUCAAUGAAAAUUAACAAGAGAUGAAACAUAACUAUGUGGGAGAUAAUGAUUAAAAUGAUUGAUGCAAUACGAAAAAAAUGGAAUUCCAUGAUACAAUAUGGCAUUGUUGGCCACAUGUUGAUUUUCCAACCGACAACUACAGGACUUUAAAACCCAUAGACUGGACCCCAUGAUCUAGAUUACAAGUGGUGAUUUACCAGUUACGGAACUGUUCUGGGGACACAAUUUGAAGCAGAGCAACGGAACCUA